rnacentral:rRNA from 1 species
UCCUACGGGAGGCAGCAGUGGGGAAUUUUCCGCAAUGGGCGAAAGCCUGACGGAGCAAUACAGCGUGAGGGAAGACUGCCUAUGGGUUGUAAACCUCUUUUUUCAGGGAGGAAUCAAUGACGUGUACCUGAAGAAUAAGCAUCGGCUAACUCCGUGCCAGCAGCCGCGGUAAGACGGAGGAUGCAAGUGUUAUCCGGAAUCACUGGGCGUAAAGCGUCUGUAGGUGGUUUAAUAAGUCAACUGUUAAAUCUUGAGGCUCAACUUCAAAAUCGCAGUCGAAACUAUUAGACUAGAGUAUAGUAGAGGUAAAGGGAAUUUCCAGUGGAGCGGUGAAAUGCGUAGAUAUUGGAAAGAACACCGAUGGCGAAAGCACUUUACUGGGCUAUUACUAACACUCAGAGACGAAAGCUAGGGUAGCAAAUGGGAUUAGAUACCCCAGUAGUCCUAGCCGUAAACAAUGGAUACUAGAUGUUGAACAGAUCGACCUGUGCAGUAUCAAAGCUAACGCGUUAAGUAUCCCGCCUGGGAAGUAUGCUCGCAAGAGUGAAACUCAAAGGAAUUGACGGA